GUUUGUGUGUUUUAGUGGUUAAAAGACAGAUUCUGAAGUCUGAGAACUUGGGUUCAGAUUCCAACCCAAUCA
rnacentral:tRNA from 1 species